rnacentral:rRNA from 1 species
UACGUAGGGUGCGAGCGUUGUCCGGAAUUAUUGGGCGUAAAGGGCUCGUAGGCGGUUUGUCGCGUCGGGAGUGAAAACCCAGGGCUUAACUCUGGGCUUGCUUUCGAUACGGGCAGACUAGAGUCAGGUAGGGGAGAACGGAAUUCCUGGUGUAGCGGUGAAAUGCGCAGAUAUCAGGAGGAACACCGGUGGCGAAGGCGGUUCUCUGGGCCUGUACUGACGCUGAGGAACGAAAGCGUGGGGAGCGAACAGG